CUGGAACAAACGCUCGCAAGAGUGCUACCCAGAAACCCUUUGUGAAUUCUUCUCAAAAACGUUGCCUCGGCAGUGACUGGCUUCUUUCGGAAGUCCCUCUUCGGAGGAGCAGGUCGGCCGGUGGCCCUAUAAACUCUUUGUUUUUUACAAUGUAUCUUCUGAGUAAAACAAACAUAAAUGAAUCA
rnacentral:misc_RNA from 1 species